CAGUGUUCAAGCAUUUUAUUAAAUCAUUUGAGGAAUCUCCACAUUGUUGCACAUACCAGAUUGUAUACAAUGUAAGGGCAUAUCACUUGUUCACAAACACAGCUGAGCAGUAAGUUGGCAAGUCUAAUAUGCUAUCUUUAGUAAACUAAAAUUUCAAGAACAUUCCAGAGGAAACACAAUAAAGGUCAUGCAAGUUCUAGAAUAGUGAAUCAUGACAAAGCUCACUCAUUUUAUCCUUUUACUUUCAAAAUACAUGUGACAUUCAAACCAGGAAUCCCAACUCUGACCUUUUCACUUACACUAAGUAUCAGUUCAAGAUAAAACACUAGAAGACUGAAACAGACUGAAUAGUCAAACAAAUCAGUGAGGCUGUAUUCAUCUACAUCUAUUUUAAUUUACAUAAAUGACACUAAGUUUAAGAAUCUUAAGAUUACCCUAUGAACUUUUUUUU
rnacentral:lncRNA from 1 species